UCUCAAACUCUCAGACCUUCUCUAUGGUUCUUUGAUAUUUCUCUCUGUUCUCUUCUAAUAUCUCAUACCAAAUUGAGAGACGACAUGGCUGGAUUUGAGCAGCAGGUGAAGGAGAGAGCUAAGGAGCUGAAGGUUUUUUUCAAGAAAGGGGUGAAGAUUGUUGGCGAAUCUUGCAAGAAGGGCUGGAACAAAGUUAAACAAAUGAAACGUUAGAUUUUUUUUUUAAUUAUUUAAGUUUUUUUUUUGUUAUUAUUAUUAUAUAUCGCCAUGUUUGAAGCUUAAUUUUCAAUUUUAUCGGUAUUUAUUUAUUUUUAAUCUAUCGGCGUCUUGUCUAAGGUAUGAUUCCGAUGUAAAGAUUUUACUUUUUUCUAUUUUUCUUAUUUAUUAUGCUGUGUUUGUUCUUUUUAUUCUAAUUGAAACUGCCUUUUCUUUUUCUUAUUAAAAA
rnacentral:misc_RNA from 1 species